AUUAGAGUUUGAUCAUGGCUCAGRAUGAACGCUGGCGGCGUGGAUAAGGCAUGCAAGUCAAACGGCCCGCAAGGGCAGUGGCGAACGAGGUAGUAACGCGUAGGUACGCACCCCAUAGUCAGGAAUAACUAAUCGAAAGAUUAGCUAAUACUUGAUAGUCUCUUCGGAGUAAAGAUUUAUCGCUAUGGGAGCGGCUUGCGUAGUAUCAGCUAGUUGGUAAGGUAAUGGCUUACCAAGGCUAUGACGCUUAGGGGGAGUGAGAGCUUGGCCCCCACCGAUGGUACUGAGAGACGGACCAUACACCUACGGGUGGCCGCAGUCGAGAAUCUUCCGCAAUGGACGAAAGUCUGACGGAGCGACGCCGCGUGAUGGAUGAAGACCCUCUGGGUCGUAAACAUCUUUUAUGAGSKASWAAGUUUAUUGAUAGUASCUCAUGAAUAACGGGGUUGCUAAACUCGUGCCAGCCGCCGCGGUAAUACAAUCGG
rnacentral:rRNA from 1 species